CGGAAAUUUCCGUCUAGAAUGUAUCCUAGACUUAAAUUUCUGUCUAGGAUACGAUAUCCAUUUUUAAAAAAAUUUAACCCACCAAAAUUUCACCGCCCCCUUUUUCCCCCAAAAUUUUGUCGCUCAUCUUUCCCCCAACAUCGAAAUUUUAUUCUAAAGAAGCAUAAAUCGAGCGGGCCAUCUCCACCCCCUCCUCUCUCCUCGGCCGCUCCGCACACGCCGUCGCUCUCAAGUCCCUCUUCCCCUGCCUCCUCCCGUCCUUCCUCUCGACCAGCAACCUCAUCAACUUCUACUCGAAGCUCGACCUCCCCCUCCCCGCCCUCCGCCUCCUCUCCCUCGAGCCCUCCCCCUCCGUCCCCUACUUCACCGCCCUCAUCUCCGGCGCCUCCCAGAACUCCAGCCCCCUCCUCUCCCUCUCCGUCUUCCGCUCCAUGCUCCGCUCCCUCGCCCGCCCCUACGACUUCACUCUCCCCUCCACCCUCAAGGCCUCUGCUUCCCUCCCCGACCCCCUCGUCGCCUCCCAGAUCCACUGCCUCAUCCUCGACGUCUACGUCGCCUUCGCCAUCGAGGACAUGUACUUCAAGUUCGGGCUCCCCCUGGAUGCCAGGAGGGUGUUCGACGAAAUGCCUCUUAACAUUUAGGUUCUAACAUUUAGGUUCUAACUAUACUUCGCAGUUGACAGCAAACUCCAAUAUGUUGAUUAUGGCUUUUAUUUUAACAAUUAGAAUCGAAGUAUGAGUUUGACUCAAAGUGAUUUGCCACCUCAGAAAGUGCCACAUGUUCCUAAACCUAGUCCUGCUCCAACUGAAAUGGUGGAUCAUGAGGAUAGGACAGUAUUCAGAUGUUUAUCUUGCUUCAGCUUUUUCAUUCCAACAGGUAUAUAUAUGUCCCCUUGAUUUUGUUAUCUUAGUGGUUCAAACAGAAGGGUAUACUUCACACUUAAUAGAUAGACUCUUUUCAUAUGUGACCAGAAGCUUAUUUUACCUUUGACUUGACUGCCAAUUCUCGUACAUGAAUGGGCUUAUAUGGAAACUAUUGUGCAUUAUGUUUCCUACUUGUCUAUGUCGACGUUGAUAGUAGCAAACACCUGUUGAGAUAUAUCAGCUGGCUUAGGUUUCUAGCAAAGACCUUCAAAGUCGAGAAAAGAAACCUGCAAAGAGGGGUAACUAGAUUUCUUCUCUUUUUGGAUCUGGUUCAAGCAACAAUGAAGGUACCAAAGCCAAAAUUAAAACAGAUUCUAGAGAUUCAUCUGAAUCCAUGCCGGGAGCUGCAAAUCUUGGAGAAAAAGGAACCACUAUAGGUCCAUCAACCGAAGAAUUCAAUUCUAGUGGUGGAUUAAUGGGAAAUCACGCUCAAGAAGGCAAGAAAAAUUAUCCAGCAACUAUAUUGGAAAGUAUGCAAGGAUAAAGUUCAAUACUGAAGUAUGCAAGAGGUUGAUACACAGAAGUGUCCGUGUAAGAUUGUUAUACAGAGGUUGAUACACAGAAUGGUUAUAGCCAAUGAUGAAGAAGGUGAAGAAGGAGAAGAAGAGGGCUUGAGUAAAUGUAUAGGGAAGGAGGUGAACAAGCUUCUGCAGUGUCAUAGCCAUUGUAAAUAAUUUAUGUAAAAGUUUGUAAAUAAUUUAUGUAUCUCUCUACUAUUUUGGUGAAUGUAUUAUUUGACUAUAAUUGGAUUUGAUAUUGGAAUAUAA